CACGUAGGGGCCAAGCGUUGUCCGGAUUUAUUGGGCGUAAAGAGCUCGUAGGCGGUUCGGUAAGUCGGGUGUGAAACCUCCAGGCUCAACCUGGAGACGCCACCCGAUACUGCUGUGACUUGAGUCCGGUAGGGGAGCGUGGAAUUCCUGGUGUAGCGGUGAAAUGCGCAGAUAUCAGGAGGAACACCAGCGGCGAAGGCGGCGCUCUGGGCCGGAACUGACGCUGAGGAGCGAAAGUGUGGGGAGCGAACAGG
rnacentral:rRNA from 1 species